CGGGAGGCCGAGGCUCGAGACCGGCCGGGCAACUCGGCGAGACCGCGUCGCCCCCGCCUGUUUCCACCUACUCUUGACAGCUAGGCGUUGGACCAGCGCGCUGUAAGGUCCAGCAAGUAGAAGGUGCUCUGUAAAGGCCUGUGGACGAACAGAUGGAAGAAAGAGCCAACGCUGAGUUCCAGACCCACUUUUGCCCCACAGCUGAUGCAGGACCAUGGACUCCUCAGGACAUCUGUCCUGUGACUCUGAUGAACUGUGCAGGAAAGGAAAGUACUUUGAAAUAGUUAACAAGCUCUGACAAUACUAUAUAACCUACUGUUAUUUUACCCAACACAUUUCUUCUGGAGAUACACAUACAAAUUAAUUUUGGACAAAUUAUCACAUUUCUUUUUCUUUCUUUUUUUUUUUUGAGUUGGAGUCUCACUCUGUCGCC